rnacentral:rRNA from 1 species
CCUACGGGUGGCUGCAGUGGGGAAUAUUGGACAAUGGGUGAAAGCCUGAUCCAGCCAUGCCGCGUGUGUGAAGAAGGCCUUCGGGUUGUAAAGCACUUUCAGUGGGGAAGAAAGCCUUGGGGCUAAUACCCUCGAGGAAGGACAUCACCCACAGAAGAAGCACCGGCUAACUCCGUGCCAGCAGCCGCGGUAAUACGGAGGGUGCGAGCGUUAAUCGGAAUUACUGGGCGUAAAGCGCGCGUAGGCGGUCUGAUAAGCCGGUUGUGAAAGCCCCGGGCUCAACCUGGGAACGGCAUCCGGAACUGUCAGGCUAGAGUGCAGGAGAGGAAGGUAGAAUUCCCGGUGUAGCGGUGAAAUGCGUAGAGAUCGGGAGGAAUACCAGUGGCGAAGGCGGCCUUCUGGACUGACACUGACGCUGAGGUGCGAAAGCGUGGGUAGCAAACAGGAUUAGAUACCCCUGUAGUC